rnacentral:rRNA from 1 species
UACGUAGGGUGCAAGCGUUGUCCGGAAUUAUUGGGCGUAAAGAGCUCGUAGGCGGUUUGUCGCGUCUGCUGUGAAGACCCGAGGCUCAACCUCGGGCCUGCAGUGGGUACGGGCAGACUAGAGUGCGGUAGGGGAGAUUGGAAUUCCUGGUGUAGCGGUGGAAUGCGCAGAUAUCAGGAGGAACACCGAUGGCGAAGGCAGAUCUCUGGGCCGUAACUGACGCUGAGGAGCGAAAGCAUGGGGAGCGAACGGGAUUAGAACCUACCGAGUCAGUCCAA